GAUAAACGCUGGCGGCGUGCAUAACACAUGCAAGUCGAACGAUGAAGCUUAACUGAUUUCUUCGGAAUGAUUUUAAGUGGAUUAGUGGCGGACGGGUGAGUAACGCGUGAGUAACCUGCCUUGCACAAGGGGAUAGCCGUUGGAAACGACGAAUAAUACCCUAUGAUAUAAACUCUUCGCAUGAAGGGCUUAUCAAAGAUUUAUCGGUGUAAGAUGGACUCGCGUCUGAUUAGCUAGUUGGUGGGGUAACAGCCUACCAAGGCAACGAUCAGUAGCCGGCUUGAGAGAGUGUACGGCCACAUUGGGACUGAGACACGGCCCAGACUCCUACGGGAGGCAGCAGUGGGGAAUUUUGCACAAUGGGGGAAACCCUGAUGCAGCGACGCCGCGUGAUUUAGAAGGCCUUCGGGUUGUAAAAAUCUUUUGUAUGGGAAGAAAAUGACAGUACCAUACGAAUAAGGACCGGCUAAUUACGU
rnacentral:rRNA from 1 species